CUAUGGCCAUACCACCCUGAACGCGCCUGACCUCAUCUGAUCUCAGAAGCUAAGCAGUGUCAGGCCUGGUUAGUACCUGGAUGGCAGAAAAUGGGUAGGCACAUGGA
rnacentral:rRNA from 1 species